rnacentral:rRNA from 1 species
GCCAGGAGCCAUACCAUCCUGCAACUCCCAGCUAGCAAUCAACUGAAGCUAUGCAGGUGUGAGUCUGACCAGUACCUGGAUGGGAGACCUCCUGGGAAAAGCUAAGGUUGCUGCUGGAA